UAUUGGACAAUGGGGGCAACCCUGAUCCAGCCAUGCCGCGUGAGUGAAGAAGGCCCUCGGGUUGUAAAGCUCUUUUGUCCGGAAAGAAAAGCAUUCGGUGAAUACCCGGAUGUUCUGACGGUACCGGAAGAAUAAGCAUCGGCUAACUUCGUGCCAGCAGCCGCGGUAAUACGAAGGGUGCAAGCGUUACUCGGAAUUACUGGGCGUAAAGCGUGCGUAGGUGGUUGUUUAAGUCUGAUGUGAAAGCCCUGGGCUCAACCUGGGAAUGGCAUUGGAAACUGGGCAGCUAGAGUGCGGUAGAGGGUAGUGGAAUUCCCGGUGUAGCAGGAAAAUGCGUAGAGAUCGGGAGGAACAUCUGUGGCGAAGGCGACUGCCUGGACCAGCACUGACACUGAGGCACGAAAGCGUGGGGAGCAAAC
rnacentral:rRNA from 1 species